rnacentral:rRNA from 1 species
GUACGGGGGGGCAAGCGUUGUUCGGAAUUACUGGGCGUAAAGGGCUCGUAGGCGGCCAACUAAGUCGGACGUGAAAUCCCCAGGCUCAACCUGGGAACUGCGUCCGAUACUGGAUGGCUUGAAUUCGGGAGAGGGAUGCAGAAUUCCAGGUGUAGCGGUGAAAUGCGUAGAUAUCUGGAGGAAUACCGGUGGCGAAGGCGGCAUCCUGGACCGACAUUGACGCUGAUGAGCGAAAGCUAGGGGAGCAAACGGGG